GGCAGCCGCGGUAAUUCCAGCUCCAAUAGCGUAUAUUAAAGUUGUUGCAGUUAAAAAGCUCGUAGUUGAAUUUCGGGAUCAAUAUGUCGGUCGUGCCUUCGGUACGUACUGGUAUCAUUAGUCUCUCCUUUCUGACGAACCAUGAUGUCAUUAAUUUGGUGUUAUGGGGAGUUAGGACUGUUACUUUGAAAAAAUUAGAGUGUUUAAAGCAGGCUUUAGCUUGAAUACAUUAGCAUGGAAUAAUGAAAUAGGACGUUCGAACCUAUUUUGUUGGUUUCUAGGAUCAACGUAAUGAUUAAUAGGGAUAGUUGGGGGCAUUAGUAUUCAAUUGUCAGAGGUGAAAUUCUUGGAUUUAUUGAAGACUAACUACUGCGAAAGCAUUUGCCAAGGAUGUUUUCAUUAAUCAAGAACGAAAGUUAGGGGAUCGAAGACGAUCAGAUACCGUCGUAGUCUUAACCAUAAACUAUGCCGACUAGGGAUCGGAUGAUGUUAAUUUUUUAAUGACUCAUUCGGCGCCUUA
rnacentral:misc_RNA from 1 species